UACGUAGGUGGCAAGCGUUGUCCGGAAUCACUGGGCUUAAAAGCGCGUGUAGGCGGGACGGCACGUCUGUCGGCUGAAAUCCCCCCGGCUUAACCGGGGAACUGGCGGAGAUACGACCGUCCUGGAGGGGCGUAGGGGGACCUGGAACUUCCGGUGGAGCGGUGAAAUGCGUUGAGAUCGGAAGGAACGCCCGUGGCGAAAGCGAGUCCUGGACGCCUACUGACGCGUGAGACGCGAAAGCCAGGGGAGCGAACGGG
rnacentral:rRNA from 1 species